UACGAGAGGCCCAAACGUUAUUCGGAUUUACUGGGCUUAAAGAGUUCGUAGGCGGCGCAGAAAGUAGGGUGUGAAAGCCCUCGGCUCAACCGAGGAAUUGCGCCCUAAACUACUGUGCUUGAGGGACCUAGAGGUGAGCAGAACAGAUGGUGGAGCGGUGAAAUGCGUUGAUAUCCUAAGGAACACCGGUGGCGAAAGCGGCUCACUGGAUCUCUUCUGACGCUGAGGCACGAAAGCUAGGGUAGCAAACGGG
rnacentral:rRNA from 1 species